AAAUCACAAAACAACAGUCUCAGUUCAGAUUGUAGGCUGAAACUCGCCUAUAUGAAGUCGGAAUUGCUAGUAAUCGCGGAUCAGCAUGCCGCGGUGAAUACGUUCCCGGGCCUUGUACACACCGCCCGUCACACCAUGAGAGUCGAUAACACCCGAAGCCUGUAGUCUAACCUUAGGGGGGACGCAGUCGAAGGUGGGAUUGAUAAUUAGGGUGAAGUCGUAACAAGGUAUC
rnacentral:rRNA from 1 species